GACGAACGCUGGCGGCGUGCCUAAUACAUGCAAGUUGAGCGCUGAAGGUUGGUACUUGUACCAACUGGAUGAGCAGCGAACGGGUGAGUAACGCGUGGGGAAUCUACCUUUGAGCGGGGGACAACAUUUGGAAACGAAUGCUAAUACCGCAUAAAAACUUUAAACACAAGUUUUAAGUUUGAAAGAUGCAAUUGCAUCACUCAAAGAUGAUCCCGCGUUGUAUUAGCUAGUUGGUGAGGUAAAGGCUCACCAAGGCGAUGAUACAUAGCCGACCUGAGAGGGUGAUCGGCCACAUUGGGACUGAGACACGGCCCAAACUCCUACGGGAGGCAGCAGUAGGGAAUCUUCGGCAAUGGACGAAAGUCUGACCGAGCAACGCCGCGUGAGUGAAGAAGGUUUUCGGAUCGUAAAACUCUGUUGGUAGAGAAGAACGUUGGUGAGAGUGGAAAGCUCAUCAAGUGACGGUAACUACCCAGAAAGGGACGGCUAACUACGU
rnacentral:rRNA from 1 species